CGAUACCGCGCGGGAGAGACCCCUGACCCAGGGGCGCCGACGGGGCAAUACUCCCCAGUAACCUCUCAGGCACCACGGACCGCACGGAGAAG
rnacentral:ncRNA from 2 species